CUCAGAGACUCUGGACCUGCUGCCGUCACACUUCCCAGGCAGAUAAAGGCAGAAUGAUCUGGCCCUUGGCUUGCCGGCGCCAUUUUGGGGUGUUGUCCACCCGCUCAGUCCCACAAUGAAAAGGACCUCCACCCGUUCCUUUGGAGCCUUGCCUUGCCCGGUACCCAGUCCGGGACCAGGACCAGGUCCGGGCUUAGCGUUAACAGCCAGGAAAGCUCCCCGCUUAGCUCGUCCCCUUCCCCUGCCACUUUUCCUCCCUCCCGAUCUGGCUUCUUGUACCGCCCCCCACCCCCAGCCUCCCGGCCAUUCGCCUCCUCCCUAUCUGACCUCUUCCUCGUAGCCUUCUCUGCGACAGGCCGUACAACGCCUUUGCAAGUGAAGCCGGGAGCACCCAGUGUCCCGGGAGUGGGCACGCGGAGGAUGCGUCAUUGAUCGGCGAUGCCCAGCCGGCCAGACCUGGAGGCCCCAGAUGCAGAUAUGCUACACGUCCACCGUCUCCCUAACAAUCAACACACCAAAUGGUUUUUACUCUUCACAAAAACAAAGAUUCACACCGGCACCAGAAUAAUCCAGGAAUUAAAAGGAGAAAACCAAUUUAGCCAUAGCUUAAGCUGGCAAAAUGCUCCCAAGCUAGGCAAAUGAGAAAAGAUCAUCGAGUCAAGGUAGCAACCAUUCAUCAAGUGCCUACUGUGUGUACCAAGUACUGGGGAUAGAAAGAAAGGCAAAAGACAAGUCCUGACUUCAAGGAGCUCCGAGUCUGAUGGGGACAAAUAUGCAAAUGACUACGUCAAGCCAAUCUGUACAGACAAAAGCAACUGGAGAUAGUCACUGAGAGAAGGUACUGGCAUCAAUGGAAAUGGAGUGUCACUGCAUUGCCGAGUCUGGGGGCAAGUAAGGAAAAGUAGGAGAGAUCCAGAUGGCCAGAAGCUUUUACUUGUGAUCCUUGAGGUGAUAGGAAGUCACACUGAAGUUUAUUGA